UACGUAGGGUGCGAGCGUUAAUCGGAAUUACUGGGCGUAAAGCGUGCGCAGGCGGUUUCGCAAGUCUGCUGUGAAAGCCCCGGGCUCAACCUGGGAAUGGCAGUGGAAACUAGGAGACUGGAAUCUGGCAGAGGGGGGUGGAACUCCACGUGUAGCAGUGAAAUGCGUAGAGAUGUGGAAGAACACCGAUGGCGAAGGCAGCCCCCUGGGCUGAGAUUGACGCUCAGGCACGAAAGCGUGGGGAG
rnacentral:rRNA from 1 species